rnacentral:tRNA from 1 species
CAGGGCGUAGCUCAGUUAGUGCAGAGCGUCCGCCGUGGGAGCGGAAGGUCGCAGGUUCAAAUCCUGCCGUCCUGACCA